UACGUAGGCAGCGAGCGUUGUUCGGAGUUACUGGGCGUAAAGGGUGUGUAGGCGGUUUUCUAAGUUUGGUGUGAAAUCUCCCGGCUUAACCGGGAGGGUGCGCCGAAAACUGGGAGACUAGAGUGCGGGAUGGGAGAGUAGAAUUCCUGGUGUAGCGGUGAAAUGCGUAGAGAUUAGGAAGAACACCAGUGGCGAAGGCGACUUACUGGACUGUAACUGACGCUGAGGCAUGAAAGCGUGGGGAGCAAACAGGG
rnacentral:rRNA from 1 species